GGUGAACGCUGGCGGCAGGCCUAAUACAUGCAAGUCGAACGGCAGCACAGCAGAGGUUGCUCUGUGGGUGGUCAGAGGCGGACGGGUGAGGAAUACGUGGGAAUCUGCCCAGUCGUGGGGGAUAACGUAGGGAAAUGUACGCUAACACCGCAUGCGCCCUCUGGGGGAAAGCAGGGGAUUAUCGGACCGGGCGCGAUGGGAUGAGUCCACGUCGGAUUAGCUAGUUGGUGGGGUAAAGGCCCACCAAGGCGACGAUCCGUAGCUGGUCUGAGAGGAUGAACAGCCACACUGGAACUGAGAGACGGUCCAGACUCCGACGGGAGGCAGCAGUAGAGAAUAUUGGACAAUGGGCGCAAGCCUGAUCCAGCCAUGCCGCGUGAGUGAAGAAGGCCCACGGGUUGUAAAGCUAUUUUGUUGGGGAAGAAAAGCCUUGGGUUAAUGCCCUGAGGUUCUGACGGUACCCAAAGAAUAAGCACCGGCUAACUUCGUGCCAGCCGCCGCCGUAACAC
rnacentral:rRNA from 1 species